rnacentral:rRNA from 1 species
UCAGACGAUGCGUCAUGCAUAUCAAUAAGCGGAGGAAAAGAAACUAACAAGGAUUCCCCUAGUAACGGCGAGUGAAGCGGGAAGAGCUCAAAUUUGAAAUCUUAAAGGGUUUCCCUUUACGAAUUGUAGUUUAAAGAAGUGUUUUCUGUUGAGGUUUUGGUAAAAGUUCUUUGGAAUAGGACAUCAUAGAGGGUGAGAAUCCCGUAUUUGACCUUUACUUUCAACUUUGUGAUACACUUUCAAAGAGUCGGAUUGUUUGGGAAUGCAGUCCAAAAUGGGUGGUAAAUUUCAUCUAAAGCUAAAUAUUGGCGAGAGACCGAUAGCGAACAAGUACCGUGAGGGAAAGAUGAAAAGAACUUUGAAAAGAGAGUUAAACAGUACGUGAAAUUGUCAAAAGGGAAGCGUUUGACACCAGUGUUGUUUUUCUGAAAAUCAAUUAAAGAACUGUUUAUGCUAAGUUGUUUAGACUUUAUCAGCUAACUGUUUAGUUUUGAGCUUUUCUUUAAUGCACUUUUCAGUUAACAAGUCAACAUCAAUUUCUUUUGCUGUAAAAAAGCUUGAGGAAGGUGGCUUGAGAUUCGUCUUAAGUGUUUAUAGCCUCUUGCCUAUGCAGUCGGAGAGAUUGAGGUCUGCAGCGUAGAUCCUUCGGGGCUAAAUGCAUUUGUGCUAAGUUAUAACAUUUUAUAGACAACUUGUUGACUAUGAUUUGUCUUGUAGCUUACUCGCUUAUGUUAUUUUACCUACGCUUAGGAUGUUGAAUCUGUGCGAGACUAC